UCGAGGACACCAACCUGUGCGCC
rnacentral:misc_RNA from 1 species